UGGCCUAUGGGGGGCAGCAGUGAGGAAUAUUGGUCAAUGGGCUUACGCCUGAACCAGCCAAGUCGCGUGAGGGAAGACUGCCCUAUGGGUUGUAAACCUCUUUUGUCAGGGAGCAAUUGGCGCUACGUGUAGCGUUAUCGAGAGUACCUGAAGAAAAAGCAUCGGCUAACUCCGUGCCAGCAGCCGCGGUAAUACGGAGGAUGCGAGCGUUAUCCGGAUUUAUUGGGUUUAAAGGGUGCGUAGGCGGAAUAUCAAGUCAGCGGUAAAAAUUCGGGGCUCAACCCCGUGGUGCCGUUGAAACUGAG
rnacentral:rRNA from 1 species